GACGAACGCUGGCGGCGUGCUUAACACAUGCAAGUCGAACGGAAAGGCCCUGCUUUUGUGGGGUGCUCGAUUGGCGAACGGGUGAGUAACACGUGAGUAACCUUCCCUUUACUUUGGGAUAACUUCAGGAAACUGGGUCUAAUACCGGAUAGGAGCUCCUGCUGCAUUGUGGGGUUUGGAAAGUUUCGGCGGUUGGGUAUGGACUCGCGGCUUAUCAGCUUGUUGGUGGGGUAGUGGCUUACCAAGGCUUUGACGGGUAGCCGGCCUGAGAGGGUGACCGGCAACAUUGGGACUGAGAUAAGGAACAGAAUCCAACGGGAGGCAGCAGUGGGGAAUAUUGCACAAUGGGAGGAAGCCUGAUGCAGAAACGCAGCGUGCGGGAUGACGGCCUUCGGGUUGUAAACCGAUUUAGAAUGUGACGAAGCGUGAGUGACGGUAAUGGGUAAAGAAGCACCGGCUAACUACGUG
rnacentral:rRNA from 1 species